rnacentral:tRNA from 1 species
UAUAUCAUGGUGUAGUGGUUAGCACGUUCGCUUUACAUGCGAAGGUUAUGCGAGUUUAAGCCUCGUAGAUCUCC